GAACGCUGGCGGCGUGCUUAACACAUGCAAGUCGAACGGAAAGGUCCUUCGGGCCUACUCGAGUGGCGAACGGGUGAGUAACACGUGGGCAAUCUGCCCUGCACUUCGGGAUAAGCUUGGGAAACUGGGUCUAAUACCGGGUAGACCGCGUCAUGCAUGUCCGGUGGUGGAAAGCUUUUGCGGUGUGGGAUGGGCCCGCGGCCUAUCAGCUUGUUGGUGGGGUGAUGGCCUACCAAGGCGACGACGGGUAGCCGGCCUGAGAGGGUGUCCGGCCACACUGGGACUGAGAUACGGCCCAGACUCCUACGGGAGGCAGCAGUGGGGAAUAUUGCACAAUGGGCGCAAGCCUGAUGCAGCGACGCCGCGUGGGGGAUGACGGCCUUCGGGUUGUAAACCUCUUUCACCAUCGACGAAGGUUCCGGUUUUCUUCGGAUUGACGGUAGGUGGAGAAGAAGCACCGGCCAACUACGUGCCAGCAGCCGCGGUAAUACGUAGGGUGCGAGCGUUGUCCGGAAUUACUGGGCGUAAAGAGCUCGUAGGUGGUUUGUCGCGUUGUUCGUGAAAUCUCACGGCUUAACUGUGAGCGUGCGGGCGAUACGGGCAGACUUGAGUACUGCAGGGGAGACUGGAAUUCCUGGUGUAGCGGUGGAAUGCGCAGAUAUCAGGAGGAACACCGGUGGCGAAGGCGGGUCUCUGGGCAGUAACUGACGCUGAGGAGCGAAAGCGUGGGGAGCGAACAGGAUUAGAUACCCUGGUAGUCCACGCCGUAAACGGUGGGUACUAGGUGUGGGUUUCCUUCCUUGGGAUCCGUGCCGUAGCUAACGCAUUAAGUACCCCGCCUGGGGAGUACGGCCGCAAGGCUAAAACUCAAAGGAAUUGACGGGGGCCCGCACAAGCGGCGGAGCAUGUGGAUUAAUUCGAUGCAACGCGAAGAACCUUACCUGGGUUUGACAUGCACAGGACGCCGGCAGAGAUGUCGGUUCCCUUGUGGCCUGUGUGCAGGUGGUGCAUGGCUGUCGUCAGCUCGUGUCGUGAGAUGUUGGGUUAAGUCCCGCAACGAGCGCAACCCUUGUCUCAUGUUGCCAGCGGGUAAUGCCGGGGACUCGUGAGAGACUGCCGGGGUCAACUCGGAGGAAGGUGGGGAUGACGUCAAGUCAUCAUGCCCCUUAUGUCCAGGGCUUCACACAUGCUACAAUGGCCGGUACAAAGGGCUGCGAUGCCGCGAGGUUAAGCGAAUCCUUUUAAAGCCGGUCUCAGUUCGGAUCGGGGUCUGCAACUCGACCCCGUGAAGUCGGAGUCGCUAGUAAUCGCAGAUCAGCAACGCUGCGGUGAAUACGUUCCCGGGCCUUGUACACACCGCCCGUCACGUCAUGAAAGUCGGUAACACCCGAAGCCCGUGGCCUAACCCGUUUUGGAGGGAGCUGUCGAAGGUGGGAUCGGCGAUUGGGACGAAGUCGUAACAAGGUAGCCGU
rnacentral:rRNA from 3 species